CAUCUCAAUCUCUCUUCUCUCAACAGCUGCAAUUUCCACCUUCUUAUUAAUGUAUUUAUCCCAAGCAUUGUUUCCAAUUGUUUCUUAUAUGCUAGAUGUCUGUUUUCUUUAACUGUUUAAGCAAGUUACUUUGCCUAUAAACUUGAGUUUUAUGCCUUGCUGUCAGGCAGGCAAGGAUGAUCAUAUAUCCCAUUAACUGACAGGAUUUUUGUUUUCCUUUACUUUUUUAUUAUAUGCUUAAAGUUGACGUAGUUUUUGACUUGUAACUAUAUUUAUAAUGUGAAAUUUAAAUCAGAUGCUACAUUUUUAAUGUGUUCAGACUUCAGACUUUGAACCUGCUUGGUGCAUUUGUUGUGUUCUACAUUCUUGGGUCAAAUAUUCUUGGCAACAGCUAACAACCAUGUUGUUAGUGGCUAUAUCAUUCCUUGAUGUUUCCUUCCUUCUUGAAG
rnacentral:misc_RNA from 1 species